GCACCUGUGUAUGUGGAUGCUCGCGUGCUCUGUCCCGCACGUGUCUGCAGCCACGACUCUCUGUGUCACAGGCUGAACCCAGCGAAGGCCCCGUGUGCCCCAUAACGACCCGGACACUCCUGCCCUGCCGUGCUUCAGCUCUUCUGCCGAGAUGCUGGGCCUUGCUUACAGAGAGACAGCAGCUUGGAAGAUGGAGGUAGUCAAAAUGAGAUGCCUUUGAACGUGAGCAGAAUAACCAGAAUGCAACGCUUCAUAUACAGCAGAGGACUGGUUUUAUGGGCCCACAGCCCUGGAAGCUGGUUUCCACCAGGAGGGGCCACUGUGCCUUUCCCACUCUUGCCUGAGCUCUGGCACUGCUCCACAUCAUGCAGGACAGCAACAGCUAAAGAAGGAUGGGCAGAGUGAAAUUCCACCCAAAGCAGUUUCAUUCAGCCAUCCCCAGAUUCUC